GUCUCCGUAGGUGAACCUGCGGAGGGAUCAUUACUGAGUUUUUAACUCUCCAAACCAUGUGAACUUACCACUGUUGCCUCGGUGGUUAGUGCUCUCCUUCGGGGGGGUGCUGCCGCCGGUGGACUACUAAACUCUUGUUAAUUUAUGGCAUUCUGAAUCAUAACUAAGAAAUAAGUUAAAACUUUCAACAACGGAUCUCUUGGUUCUGGCAUCGAUGAAGAACGCAGCGAAAUGCGAUAAGUAAUGUGAAUUGCAGAAUUCAGUGAAUCAUCGAAUCUUUGAACGCACAUUGCGCCCAUUAGUAUUCUAGUGGGCAUGCCUGUUCGAGCGUCAUUUCAACCCUUAAGCCUAGCUUAGCGUUGGGAGACUGCGCUAAACCGCAGCUCCUCAAAACCAGUGGCGGAGUCCUCUCGUACUCUGAGCGUAGUAAUUCUUUAUCUCGCUUCUGCAAGUACGGUUGACGACAGCCAUAAACCGCACCCUCUCGGGGGGCACUUUUUAAUGGUUGACCUCGGAUCAGGUAGGAAUACCCGCUGAACUUAAGCAUAUCA
rnacentral:rRNA from 1 species